rnacentral:rRNA from 1 species
UACGUAGGGGGCGAGCGUUGUCCGGAUUUAUUGGGCGUAAAGAGCGUGUAGGCGGUCCGGUAAGUCAGCUGUGAAAGUCAAGGGCUCAACCCUUGAAAGCCGGUUGAUACUGUCGGGCUAGAGUCCGGAAGAGGCGAGUGGAAUUCCCGGUGUAGCGGUGAAAUGCGCAGAUAUCGGGAGGAACACCAAUGGCGAAGGCAGCUCGCUGGGACGGUACUGACGCUGAGGAGCGAAAGCGUGGGGAGCGAACAGG